CCUACGGGAGGCUGCAGUCAAGAACCUUCCACAAUGGACGAAAGUCUGAUGGAGCGACGCCGCGUGAUUGAUGAAGUCCCUUUGGGACGUAAAGAUCUUUUGUCGGGGAUGAAGUUUAUUGACCGUACCCGAAGAAUAAGAGGCUCCUAAUCUCGUGCCAGCAGGAGCGGUAAUACGAGAGCCUCGAGCGUUAUCCGGAAUUAUUGGGCGUAAAGGGUGCGUAGGUUGUUUUGUUAGUCUUUUGUGAAAACCCCGGGCUUAACUUGGGAGGCGCGAAAGAAACGGCAAAACUUGAAAGUGUGAGAGGUAUACGGAACUUAUGGUGUAGGGGUGAAAUCCGUUGAUAUCAUAGGGAACACCAAAUGCGAAGGCAGUAUACUGGCGCAUAUUUGACACUGAAGCACGAAAGCGUGGGUAGCGAAUGGGAUUAGAUACCCUAGUAGUCC
rnacentral:rRNA from 1 species